AUGGCCCCCAGGAGCAGCCAGUCCAGGAUCUUGAGAAAGGCCCAGAAGAAGAUGGUUGAAGAGACACAGAAAAAGGGGCAACCGAAGGCAGGUGAUGCAUCUAUGAAGGUUUCUGCCAAUGGACAUCCCACACAUAGUCCCAGAGCAGCAUCACGGAAAGCAGUCCCUGAGGAGAGGGAACCAUUGGCUGUCUCCAAUGAGAAGAACCCAUGUCUCCUGCAAGGAAAGAACAGCAGAGCAGAGUGGGAGUCUGAGGAGUCUCCUCCUAUCCCAGGGAGAGAGAGGCACAGGCUGGGAGAGAAGGAAGAGGGGAAGGAAAGGUCUUUCACUGACUGUACUGUUUCCUUGGCCAGGCAGCACAACCUCUCUCAAGACUGUGAGUGGGAGUUUCUUGGAGCAGGUUCCCCUUCACAGCCUGGUGCUGGCAGGGCAGAGCCCUGCAGCAGGCACAGCACUGAGGCUGUGGACCUGGAGAGUGAGGUAAGAUGGUGUCUUGAGUGAGGACAGCAGGGCCCAGUUUCCAGGGGCUGGUACAGAGACCCUGGGACUGGCAGGGUUUGUGGCACCAGUCCUCUCUCUUCUGUGGCUAGGAGUUGGAGAGUGAUGAGGAGUGGCAGCACCUGAUUGAGGACACUGAGCCCUCAGCCAUGCAGCUGAGUGUGCCUCUGAGCCUCCUGAGGGACUUGGCUUUCCAGCACCGUGUCCAGGACCACCUGGCAGCCUCUGCUCAGCAGGUAAAUGAUUGCUGGCCCAGGCAACUAAGACUGGAGACUUGGAUGCUGCCUUGUUUAUCAAGAUUAGGUUGGAAACAUAUGGAGAAUCCUCAGCCCAGCCAGCAAAAAGAUCCUCUGCUUCUCCGGGAGUUGGAGCUGUCUUGUGCACUUGGCUUGCCAUCUGCUCCUCUGCUGUCCCCUGCCUGAGUGGGUUGAAGGGCUGCUUCAUGGCUGGUGGAGACACCAAAAUUGCUGCUCAUUAUAAGCUCUUCUGGCUUCUCUGUGUCCAGGUGCUGGAAGGGAUGCUGGAGGGAGCCUCCCAUCUUCGUUCUGUGCUUCGUGUUAUUGGCAACCUCCUGUCUACCCGGUGUGAUGCUGAGCUGCUGGACCACUUCUGCCAAGAGCUAAAUGUGCCUCUGUCCCUGCUGUGUCUAGCCAAGCAG
rnacentral:lncRNA from 1 species